rnacentral:rRNA from 1 species
AACGAACGCUGGCGGCAUGCCUAACACAUGCAAGUCGAACGAGAUCUUCGGGUCUAGUGGCGCACGGGUGCGUAACGCGUGGGAAUCUGCCCUUUGGUUCGGAAUAACAGUUGGAAACGACUGCUAAUACCGGAUGAUGACGAAAGUCCAAAGAUUUAUCGCCAGAGGAUGAGCCCGCGUAGGAUUAGCUAGUUGGGGUGGUAAAGGCGCACCAAGGCGACGAUCCUUAGCUGGUCUGAGAGGAUGAUCAGCCACACUGGGACUGAGACACGGCCCAGACUCCUACGGGAGGCAGCAGUGGGGAAUAUCGGACAAUGGGCGAAAGCCUGAUCCAGCACUGCCGCGUGAGUGAUGAAGGCCUUAGGGUUGUAAAGCUCUUUUACCCGGGAUGAUAAUGACAGUACCGGGAGAAUAAGCUCCGGCUAACUCCGUGCCAGCCGCCGCAGUAA